rnacentral:rRNA from 1 species
GACGAACGCUGGCGGCGUGCCUAAUACAUGCAAGUCGAACGCAGUGGGGACGGGUGAGUAACACGUGGGUAACCUCCCAUCAGAGGGGAUAACACUUGGAAACAGGUGCUAAACCGAUACUGAUGGAUGGAUCCGCGGUGCAUUAGCUAGUUGGUGAGGUAACGGCGCACCAAGGCCACGAUGCAUAGCCGACCUGAGAGGGUGUGCGGCCAGCCUGCGACUGAGACCCGGCCCAGACUCCUACGGGAGGCAGCAGGAGGGAAUCUUCGGCUAUGAACGAAAGUUUGACCGGGCAACGCCUCGUGAGUGAAGAAGGUUUUCGGAUCGUAAAACUCUGUUGUUAGAGAAGCGGUAUCUAACCAGAAAGCCACGGCUAACUACGUGCCAGCCGCCGCGGUAAUUC